rnacentral:rRNA from 1 species
GACGAACGCUGGCGGCGUGCUUAACACAUGCAAGUCGAACGAUGAACCACUUCGGUGGGGGAUUAGUGGCGAACGGGUGAGUAACACGUGGGCAAUCUGCCCUGCACUCUGGGACAAGCCCUGGAAACGGGGUCUAAUACCGGAUACUGAUCCGCUUGGGCAUCCAGGCGGUUCGAAAGCUCCGGCGGUGCAGGAUGAGCCCGCGGCCUAUCAGCUUGUUGGUGAGGUAGUGGCUCACCAAGGCGACGACGGGUAGCCGGCCUGAGAGGGCGACCGGCCACACUGAGACUGAGACACGGCCCAGACUCCUACGGGAGGCAGCAGCGGGCACCACUGCACCAUGAGCGAAAGCCUGAUGCAGCGACGCCGCGUGAGGGAUGACGGCCUUCGGGUUGUAAACCUCUUUCAGCAGGGAAGAAGCGAAAGUGACGGUACCUGCAGAAGAAGCGCCGGCUAACUACGUGCCAGCAGCCGCGGUAAUACGUAGGGCGCAAGCGUUGUCCGGAAUUAUUGGGCGUAAAGAGCUCGUAGGCGGCUUGUCACGUCGGUUGUGAAAGCCCGGGGCUUAACCC